rnacentral:misc_RNA from 1 species
GAUGAAGAACGUAGUGAAAUGCGAUAAGUAGUGUGAAUUGCAGAAUUCAGUGAAUCAUCGAAUCUUUGAACGCACAUUGCGCCCCUUGGUAUUCCAUGGGGCAUGCCUGUUCGAGCGUCAUUUGUACCUUCAAGCUCUGCUUGGUGUUGGGUGUUUGUCCUUGCUCUAGUGGCGGGACUCGCCUUAAAGUAAUUGGCAGCCAGUGUUUUGGUUUUGAAGCGCAGCACAAGUCGCGAUUCAAGUCUAUACGCUAGUUUCCACAAGUCUUUUAUCACUUUUGACCUCGGAUCAGGUAGGGAUACCCGCUGAACUUAAGCAUAUCAAUAAGCGGAGGA